rnacentral:rRNA from 1 species
GACGAACGCUGGCGGCGUGCUUAACACAUGCAAGUCGAACGGAAAGGCCCUGCUUUUGUUGGUUUCUCGAUUGGCGCACGGGUGAGUAACACGUGAGUAACCUGUCCUUGUCUUUGUGAUAUCUUCACGAAACUGGGGCUCAUACCGCAUAUGAGCUCCUGCUGCAUGGUGGUGGUUGGAAAGUUUCGGCGGUUGUGGAUGGACUCGCGGCUUAUCAGCUUGUUGGUGUGGUAGUGGCUUACCAAGGCUGUGACGGGUAGCCGGCCUGAGAGGGUGACCGGCGACAUGGGGACUGAGAGACGGAGCAGACGCGUACGGGAGGCAGUAGGGGGGAAUAUGGCAGAAUGGGCGGAAGCCUGAGGCAGAAACGCCGCGAGCGUGAUGACGGCCUACGGGUUGUAAACAGAUGUGGACGGUGACGAAGAGGGAGUGACGGUAAUGGGUAAAAAAGCAACGGCUAACUACGUG